UGAUUCUUGACAGAGAGCUGAGAAAACGAUACUGAAAGAAUAGAAAUUUUAAUGGGAAGUCAUAGAUGUGAUAAUGUAAGAGUAUAAAAGGAAGCCAAGGACUGGGAGAUUAAGUAGAUGAAAGGUAAAGGGAUUCAGAAAUGGAAGGUACUUCAAGCUAGUCAGUUUGUUCAUAUUUUCCAGAAGUGUAUAGUCUUCACUGGUGGCUCUCAGCUCACCUGUCAGCACCUUCAAAAUACCCAAGGAAAACAGGGUACUUGGAAAUUGAAAUUUUCCUCAAGACCAUCUAACAUUUGAAUGAUUGUCCAAAAUGCUUCAUUGUGAAAAUAGACAAUGUGGCCUCCAAACAGAGACCGCAAAUUUGCUGUAGUGAUGAUGAAGAAGAACAUCAUGAGACACGAAGCUAUGCAUGGUUAUCUGGAAAACAACCUUGUUUUGGAAAAACAUUGCCUCAUAUCCAGGAAAAUGUGGGCUUUGUGUUCACCAAAUAGAAUCUGACUGAGAUUGGAGACAUUCAUUUGUCAACGAGGUAACAGCUGCUACUUGUGCUAGAGGAAUUUCCUCCAAGUGAGUUCACUGUGUGUACACUGGUCUGGGUCCUAAAAAGCCCUCCUUCUUGCAAGCUUUGGGAAUCACUACUAAGUUAGUAGUUAGUACUAUAGGAGCACUAUUGAAAUCUUGAAUGAUGUGCCAUUGAUUAAAACUAUAGACAAAGCAGGUGCCAGCAGAGUGAUAUUAUCAAAUAUGUUGACUAUCUCCCCCCAUUCUCCUUUGGGUAGAUAAUUCACCUGGGGUUUGAUAAUGCCAGCAUCUAUAGUCCUGGAAUACUUGAUAUAACAAGGGAAACUUUGUGUCUUUGCUUCUUGGAGGGGAUAUGUAAUGUUUCCUGUUUCUGUUUGCAGACUGGUCACUCAGUUUUUGUACCCACAUUGUACUCUUUCAUCAAUAACUAGCAGGGGUUCUUGGCUGUACCUGUGAAGACUAAGUAUACUUUCCCAAUUGAUGAAAAGGUAAAAACUUUGUUUGCAGAUUCUUCAGCAUUUGUAGCUGCUGUCCCUGUGGCACCAGUCAUAACAGCUGUUCCUCUAACUGCUGUUCCAGUCAAGGUGGAAGCCAAGGAAGAAUCUGAUGAAGAUACGGGAUUUGAUCUAUUGGAUUCUCCCAAAUUAAACAACUAUUCAAUUCAUUUUGUUUGUGAAACAAAGAGAUAGUGUUCAUUUAUCUCUGAAAUGAAAACCACCUCCCCCCAAAACACACACACACACACACACACACAUACACACAUACACACAUACAC
rnacentral:lncRNA from 1 species